rnacentral:lncRNA from 1 species
GAAAGCUAUGAUGGCUACUUGGAGGGACAGUGAUGAAUCCAGCUCUGGAGAAGAAGAACAGCAACAAGAAGCUGCAAAUCUAUGUCUAAUGGGACACGAAAAUGAGGUAUAUCUAAAUACUGAAUACGAUUUCACUUUCGAUGAGCUUCAAGAUGCUUUUUCUGAGCUUAUGAUUGAAUAUAAAAUGCUUAGCUUAAAGAACAAGGAACUGAAGAUUAGGAACCAA